GUGUUAUCACACAACCCUUCUUAUGUAGGAUUCAUUGGGAUCAAUUGCUCACGCUUAAGGUAACAGUCUUGAUCUAAUUCUCUUUGAAUUCAAUUUAAGUGUAAUUUGAUCAGUUUCUACAAUUUGUUCAAUGUGUUGGCUUCCAAUUUUCAGGUGCAUCUAUUUAGUUCUUUCCAGGUAAAUCUAUGGGUUGGUUUAGCUCCAGGGUAUAUGUAUGGUGUUUGUUCCAAGGUAUGUGUUGUUUUAUUUGAACCUGUAAAAACAACACAGUCUUGCAAUGGGAAGCCUUGGUGAAAGGACCUGUGAAAUUUGACUGAUUUUGGGACUUAGUGUCUAGGGUGGUUGAUGACGAGCUAGAAAUGGUUGUGAUCGAAAAUACUGAAGAAGCUAGAGUGCUCCCUAUGGAUACCCUAGACCAUAAAAUGUAGCCAUCAUCUUUCACUCUCACCCUCCCCAUCUUACUACACCACUCACCAUGGCUUUCACCACCACCACCACAACAUAAAACAUCCUGGUAAUUUUCAUUUUUUUUUUUCAAAAUGUUGUUUUAGGGUUUAGGGUUUAAGGUUUAGGGUUAGAUAAUCCAUUUAAGAUACCUAAGGUUGAUUUGAUAGACACUAUACUUAGUAAAUAUUCUCCAAGUAACCGACAUUGCAGGUUACAAUAGGGACAUCAAAGCAUGUUGGGAUUUGAUAACAAUGUGGUGUGCUCUUAGUAUUUUCUUUGUGUUUAAUAUUCUUUUUGUUCAUUUAAUACAUAUUUCUUAUUUUAGUUGAACCAUUGCACUUUAAGUUUUUGAUUUCUAAAACCACAUAGCUUAUGAAUAUGCAAAAUUCUCAAUAGUUUUGUGCUCAUUAUGUAAUACCUCCUAAUACAUUUCCAAUUGUCAGGUGCUUCCCAUAUAAAUUGUGUUGAGACUCUUUGUUUAAGGGCAACAAGUAUCAUUGUAUGUUGAAAAGAUCAAGGAAAGUAUUUUGUUUAGUCUGGUUUGCAUAUUGGAGUUCAAGUUGUAAUUUCAUAGUAUAUUGUUAUAUUUACUGUUUUGUAUUUGAUUUUACCACUAAUUUUAGAACAAGAGUUUGUUCCAUAUCAAUUGAAUGCUUAUUCCAUAGUUUUUCUGCAUAUUUGAUUGCCAAAUUCUUUAAUGAUAUUUUUAAAUGUUAGUCAAGCAAAUUAGCCUUUAUGUUUCAUUUUUAUAAUUUGUCAAAGAUAGGUUUAGUAAUGUUAUGUCAAUAAACUAUACAGAUUUUAGUCAAUGUUA
rnacentral:lncRNA from 1 species